CAGCCGCCGCGGGAAUACGUAGGGUGCAAGCGUUAAUCGGAAUUACUGGGCGUAAAGCGUGCGCAGGCGGUUAUAUAAGACAGAUGUGAAAUCCCCGGGCUCAACCUGGGAACUGCAUUUGUGACUGUAUAGCUAGAGUACGGCAGAGGGGGAUGGAAUUCCGCGUGUAGCAGUGAAAUGCGUAGAUAUGCGGAGGAACACCGAUGGCGAAGGCAAUCCCCUGGGCCUGUACUGACGCUCAUGCACGAAAGCGUGGGGAGCAAACAGGAUUAGAGACCCGAGUAGUCCCUGUCUCUUAUAC
rnacentral:rRNA from 1 species